rnacentral:rRNA from 1 species
GCCGAUGACAAUAAUCACUCUGAACGUGCCCGAUCUCACGUGAUCUUGGAAAAUAAGCAGAGUUGAGCCUGGUUAGUACUUGGAUAAGCGACGACCAACAAAUUCACCAGGUGUUGCAGGCC